AACAGGCCAUCUUCCAUCACGACGUCCA
rnacentral:sRNA from 1 species